GACGGGGGGAUCCCAAGUGCCAUUCUUAACGGGAUGGCUUUUCAUUAGUGUAAAGAGCUUUUGGAAUAAGGGCUGGGCAAGACCGGUGCCAGCCGCCGCGGUAACACCGGCAGCUCUAGUGGUAGCAGUUUUUAUUGGGCCUAAAGCGUCCGUAGCCGGUUUAAUAAGUCUCUGGUGAAAUCCUGUAGCUUAACUGUGGGAAUUGCUGGAGAUACUAUUAGACUUGAGACCGGGAGAGGUUAGAGGUACUCCCAGGGUAGAGGUGAAAUUCUGUAAUCCUGGGAGGACCGCCUGUUGCGAAGGCGUCUAACUGGAACGGUUCUGACGGUGAGGGACGAAAGUUAGGGGCGCGAACCGGAUUAGAUACCCGGGUAGUCCUAACUGUAAACGAUGCGGACUUGGUGUUGGGGUGGCUUUGAGCUGCUCCAGUGCCGAAGGGAAGCUGUUAAGUCCGCCGCCUGGGAAGUACGGUCGCAAGACUGAAACUUAA
rnacentral:rRNA from 1 species